UACGUAGGGUGCAAGCGUUGCCCGGAUUUAUUGGGCGUAAAGGGCGCGUAGGCGGCUCUGCACGUCCGUUGUGAAAUCGCCCGGCUCAACUGGGCGGGGUCAGCGGAUACGGCAGAGCUUGAGCAAGCUAGGGGGCAAUGGAAUUCCCGGUGUAGGUGGUGGAAUGCGUAGAGAUCCGGAAGAACACCGGUGGCGAAGGCGGCCUGCUGG
rnacentral:rRNA from 1 species